rnacentral:lncRNA from 1 species
UUUCAAAAGGUUGUCAUGGCUAACAUUAGCGAGCUGUGGCUUUUUUACACAUCAUGAAAAUUGAAACCAACACUAGCACUGAGUGAAGACGUAUCCUCCUCUGAACCCUGAUUUAAUCAGAGCAACAUUUUGUCUUUCUAAAUGCUCUGAUGCACUGAACAGUUAGAGACUCACCAGGUCCAUUUGCCGCUGAGUGUUAGAACGACAUUAUACUGUGGGUUCAUAAGAGCUUUGUUGCUGCUGCUGCUGCUGAAAAUGGUCCUGCUAAAAGUGGACAGAGAGGAGUAAAGGGCAGCGAAACCAAAAUGCUUGAAGUUGCCAAAACCUCUGAAGAGUUGAGAGAAAAGUCAUAAUUUUCUUUGAGUUCAUUGCCACGAGUCACCCUUUCAUAACACACAGCCAUAACACGUUGUCUUUCUGCAACAAGUGAUAAAUGGGGCUUUUAGUGUUUUAAGAAGCUGAAUAACUGUUACACCUACAUCGAGUUUAGUUAAGGCUGAAGCUAUGAAUCACCAAAUCCUGGAAGCAGUGUGAUUUUAAAUCAGGUGUUGUUCGAUUAUUCACUGUCUGUGAAGCAGCUGCAGUUCUCUUUGUAUUUAAUCAUGCCUCCAGCAUUUUUCCAAGCUUAAGGAAGGACUCCAAGUUGGCUGAAUGGAAUGGGUCAAUGGAACAUAGCUGCACAAUGUAAGAGCAGCCGAUCAAUCAAUAUUUCCAAUUGGACAUCCUCUGGCGUGGGUUAAAACUUGCUGUCUAAAGCCCAAUCGUUUAAAAGUUGGGACGCUGUGUAAAGACAGAAUUUGAUGUAAUGCAAAUUAUUCAUGUCCUGUAUUUAAUUGAGAUUGUAUGAUGCAGCCUUGGCUUCGUAGUAGAGUCAGUGGUCUCUCAAGCAAAGGGUGGGGAGAUCUGAUGGUGGUCUCUGCCAUUAAUGUGUGAAUGUGAUGUAAUGUGGUUGGCUAGACCAGAGAAAGCUCAAUAUGAAGAUAGUCCAUUUAUCAUUUUAAAUUCCACAAUGUUGGGACAGCGAUAUGUUUACCAUUGUGUUACAUUAACUUAGCACAACAGCAGCACUACUGUUUCCAAAGUUGAUUUUAUCGUUGAGCAGUUCUGGUAACCUUCCAGAUGUGUAAGCUACCUUUUUCUUUGGACACUUGCGCACCCCCAUGCCAUCUCUAUUGCUGGCUUUAAACUGUGCACUGCUAACAAGCUUGGAUCAGCAUCCAUGGUUUCCAAAAAGAAUGUCAAAUUUUGUUUUGCGAGACCAAAGUGCAGUUUCCCACUUGGCCUCAGUCUAUGUCGCAAAACCUCAACUAAAAAGCCAUUCUAAAGCCACAAAUAGUGCUCAGAACAGCACCUAACUUCAUCAACAGUACAUACAGGGUCCCAGCCAUGGUACUAUCCAUCAAAUAUCUUUUUAGUUUUGCGUAAUUUCUUUAGCAGAGACUAAACACAACUCACUCACUCUCCUCCAGCAGCUGCUUGUUUUUGGGGAAUCCCUGACGAGUUGAUCACCGAGUGCAGCGGAUCAUUUCCAUGAAGUAAUAAUCAUCAUAUUAAUCAUUUUGCACUGCAGACCUUCUUCUGCCUUAGCGUCUUGGUCUGAUUGCAUUUCCAUGAAGUAAUAAUCAUAAAUGUUCUUCCUUAAGCUGCGAAACUCCGCUGCACUCUGUGAUCGACUCAUCAGGACUCCCCCACAAACAAGUGGCUGCUGGAGGAGAGUGGGUGAGUUGUGUUUAGUCUCUUUGCUAAUGAAACCAGGCAAAGCUAAAAAGAUGUUUGAUUGCUAGUACUAUGGCUAAUUGUAAAAACAUUUUCAGGCUGUCAUCUGUUCUUGGACUAUAUGCAUUAAAACAUGUUUUAAGUUAGUUGCUAACCCUUAAAACCGGGUUUGUUUUAACUCAACAUCUUACAGUGUAGGGUUGACUUUCAUCAUAGUAUUUCAUUAAUCAUGAUCAUGGCUGUUCAUAUCAAAUAAUCACAACUUUGGGGAUUUCAUUCCUCUCUUCAUUGUGCAUGAAAAUCUGCAGAAACUGUUCAAAGCCUAAGGUUUGUUUGUCUAUACUGCAUCUACCCACACAAAACUGCAGCCAUGCUGUUCUUUUGGUCUGUUGUGCACUUUUUUCACCACACCGUCACCACACACAAACAUGUAGAAACUGCCUUUUCCUGUCAUGUAAACAUAAGAGACAUAUUUAUGUGGUAUUGUAUACUUUCACAUGUGCUCUACUGACAUUCCACAAACUACAUGCUUCUCACUGUUGAUGCUCAUGUGACAGCCCUCCUAUGCUGGGCCUCGCCAUGUGUGUACAGUAGAGCUGCCUCAUGGUCAUGUUCUCCUCAUGCAGCUUUAAGCCUGUGGGGUUAAAAUAAUCAGCUUGCUAAUGAAACGUUUACAAUGGAGGCAGACCGACUGGACCAGAUGUCCCCGUGCCUCCAGGUCUUUGCUUUUAAUUUGCGUCAAAAGAGCUGAACUGAACCCAUCAGUGAGGUUUGGGGGGAAAGGGAAAGACUUCAAAGUGUGACAAAUCAAUUAACACAGUGAUGUUUUCCCCAUGGCAUAAUUUGUAAAAACAGCAAACUACAGGGCAAACAUCUUGAGAAGAUGACUUGAGUUUUAAUCAGGAGACCAAGAUAACCAAAGAUUUAAUAUGUACCAGGCUUUUUGGAAAGCUUUUGGAGAUCACAAUCAUUACACAGUAUAUGCGUCUCUCUACUCUGUCCUUUUUUAAGAACAUAUUCAUUGAGCAAAGAUCAAGAUUUGGUCUUUAAAAUUGCUUUCAGUGUGUCAAUUUGUAAACACUUUGUUAAGUGUUAGGAAAAGUGUUUGCAGUACAAUCCAGCUGCGUCCCUCAAGGUAUUUUGAAUUGCGGCCUGUUAAAAUAAAUGCAUUAUGAAAGCCCAUGAUAAAAAAGCAUCCUGCUUUUUCUCCUUGUAACAAUGACCAGACCCUUUCUGCAGUGAAUUCACAGCCUAUCACCAGCUGAGAGAUCAAAAAGAGGCAUUUGUUCAUGUCUUUGUGGAUUGGCUCAAAGCUGGAAUGAAGGGGAUGCGUGCCUCUGGGCCAAAUAAUGUUUCCCAUAAUGGCGUGUAAACAAUAUGUUUGACUCCCUCUCACCGAGCCUUUCGCGACAACUGUCAUAAUGUUUGGUGACCUCAAGCACCCAGAAUCAGCGGUGGAGAGCGAGAAAAGAGCCAAGGUUCAGUUGGUUUACCCAAUGUGAAGAAAAAAAUUGAAACAAUUCCACUAAUCAGUGAGUAUCUGCUCAAUCCUUGUAAAGUUUCAGAUAGGAUUCUCAGCACUCUCAGCCACAAACCCCGCUCAAAACGUACAGAUAAACUCACGUCUGUCAUUUUGGUCUGGGUGAAAGCAGGGCCUCAACCACGGCGGUAAAGCUGCCCCUCUUUUGGGCGGGGUGGCAAAUAUGACCUCUACUUGGUAGGAAGGCCAUAAUAGCAUCUAUGCUCUGACAGUGUGUCAUUACACACUAUAUUUACAUGAAACACAGCAACCCAGGGUGGCAGGUCACGACGUGAAGCUACGGGGGGUGAGGAUUCUCUGGUGCAUGUCGAACCGAACAACCAGAGAUUACUGAUGAUUAUAGAACCGCUUCGCCUGUAAUGUGGCCUGUUUUGCAGUUUAAUGGUUGUCAGGGCAUGUUUUACAGCAUCAUUACAUGGUUAUUUAACUGCUAUGACUACAUUUAUCUAACUUCUAUUGGAUAUUUAAACUUGAUAGCUAUAAUCGGACCACCCUGUGAGGAGGUAUCCCGUGGCUGAAGUUGAAAAUGACGGUGAUAAAACACUGGCAUUGGUUAAUUUCAUUCCAGUUCAGCAUUAUUGUGGGGGUCUUUGCCCUCGUCUUGCAAAAAUUCAAUUAGAAGCUCAUUUCCCAAACUCAUGUUCAUUUUCACUGAUAAGAAAAACAUGGCUGGCAGAACAGCAAAUGAGCAGCACACUGUACAACACCCACAGCUUUCGACGUUUCUGAUUCACAUUAACAAACUGAUGUUAGACAUACCUGCAGUAAUUACUGUCACCAGCUUUUUCAGCCUUUUAAAAGAGGCCUCCAGCAGCCAGCCAGAUGCAGCAAUUCCUCUGAAGUUCAAAAUGAAACCAAUGCUAUAAGUUUGUCCUGCAGAGCUUUGUGUGUGGCUAAAUCAAAACAGGUUGCAACACACAAUGCACUGUGUGCACUUAAAGGUAGAAAGUGCAGACAGUAUCCCAACCCUUUUUGAAUAUCCCUGUCAUAGUCAAGCGGGCCUUUCUCACUGUAACAGUAUGAGACAAAAGCAGCUGUUUGAGCACAACUUUGAUUCUGUGGACAAACAAACAAACUCGUCCAACUGAUACCAGAACUGAAACUGACUCUUUUGAUUGUUGAGUAGUCAUUAAUUUUAAAAACAAUUUUACAGCUAAUUUUACAAUGAAUUCCAGUCACUUAAAAGUUGGGUAGGCAGGAAUCUGUUAAAGAGGCAUCUUUUUUUUAUUGGCGUAUAUACAAAAAAGCUUUUAAUAUCAGUCAAUAGCUAUUAGACAUUGAUGACGUUUGGUGAUAUAAAGAUAUCACUGUUUCGUUAUGUCUGUGUAGUCAACAUUUCAAAUUUUUUUGACUGCUCCGCUCUUUGUCACUGUAAACAAAGCCAUUCCCCGCCUCCCCCAUCCUGAUUGGUUGUGAGGCAGACGCUGCUCCCCAGUGUCGUUCAGGAGCCCAUACAAAGUUAGCGUGCUACAAUAUCAGACAGUAGAAACUAACCAGAAAGUACAGAAAGUUGUCUGAAUCCUCCUUUAACCACGACUGCCAACAAAAGCUGGAGCAUAGACAGAGGAAGUGCCAGUUUUUGGGAGAAAUCUUGAAUGUAAACACUACCCUUCCCAACCAGUUUUCCCCUUAGCUCCUGCCUACUCCACCUUUAAUGGCGCUUAUCAAGCAGUCAGCCUUGAAAUUUAACAAUAAACCUAUAAACUUAAAAUAUGCCACUAAAAAUAUUGAUUCAAGCCAAAUUUCGGUUUAGUCUGAAAGCAAAACUAUCAAUAAUAUAAGAUGAAUGGUUUGGUUAAUUUUGUAGCCUUGUAUCUAUAGUCAUACGGUGCAAGUCCUUGGCUCCACAGUGAGGAGUGGAAAAAGAGAAAGAGAAGAAUAAAGGAUGAAGAAGAAAAACAUGUUCUCAGGUCAAGAUAAAAGGCUGGAAAUAUAACUUGAAGGAAAACAACAGUCUCGGCUUCAACUUUUAGGGUCACAGUGAGUUGUUGUUUAAAAGAGAGACGUCCAAAUGCCUUCUUUUCCCAUGAUAAGCAAAGUCUGCUGCUUAAAAUUUGGGGACUGUUUUUCUUUGCAGCGAAGUGGGUGGGAUGUUUGUAGUGUGAUAAGUUUUUGGAUGUGAUGGUGUUGGAUUGGCCACUACUCUUGCCAUGUUUCAUUAACGUGUCACUCUCUUUGCCGCUGGUUUGCAUGUACCAAACUCUCUCAGCAGGCAAAGUUAAGACAAGAUGACUCAUCCCUCAACAACUCUGCUGAGUAAAACAAUAUUACGGCUGUUCACAGCAUGAAAACACACUCAAUAACACAUCUAACUCAUUGGGGCCAACUUUGUUCAUUGGUAAUUGAUUGUUGAUUUUUGUCAGAAGAGUCAGCUUAUCUUUGUAGCCUUGGCCAAUCGCUGUGUGUAGCUUAGCAAGCAUGGCACUCUAACCGCUGUUGCUGCCAGCAACUCUCCUUCUUCCAAGUCUGCCUGCAAGGAACACAAGGAACAGAGCAACACUAUGACAGAUUAUAAAAUAGCCUCUUUCUUGGAGGCUUACAAUCCUCAGACAACAGUCCAGUCAUAAAUUCACCAUAUUGCCCCUUAUUGCAAAACUUCAAACUCACUGUUACGUUUAAUAAAUUUGACCUUCAUGGGCAUUACUGCUGGGUUCAAGUUUAGUAAUCCUUCUCCAGAAUUUUAUACCAUACAAGUGGUCUUGUAAUGCUUGCCAGGCUAGCAUAAACCUAGCUAGUUUAGGGUGACCAUAUUCUGAAUCUCCAAAAUGAGGACACUGCUAUUCGGGGUGGAGUUGCAGAGUCACACGUAGUAAAUUUUGAGGGUUUUCCGGGUCGGAUGUUUUUUAUGUGCUUCUAUCUCAAUUAGUCCACGCUACACAAACUCAGAACUUCCACACAAAACCCCAGAUAUUUUAUAAACUCCCCUGGACAAGGCCGGACAGCCCCUCCAAAGAGAGGACAUAUCCAGAUAAAAGAGGAAGUAUGGUCACCCUAGUUUAGUUCCUUAGAAUCUGGAACCUCUGUUAUAAAACAACUGCUCCUGCCUUACAGUCUCCACACAUACUGUUCUUGUCACAUUUGAUCAACUUUUCUCUGUUCCCAAACAAAAAGGAGGCUGGCCUUUUUGGUCAUAUAGAACCGGAGUCCAACAUAUGGUGGCUAUCCUCCUUGAGGGACUUGCGGCCACUGUGUCUGGUUUUCCAUCACACAGUUCAGAUCUUGACAAGAAAAACUGAAUUCAGAGCGUUCAGGGAACACUGAGUAAGGACAUGCUAAUGCUAACAGGAUGUUUAUUUAUUAAUUCAUCAUGACAGGCAAAGAUGAAACUAAUCCUUUGUUGGAUUAAGAAAAAAGACUUUUGAGUGCAGCCUCUUGUACUGUAGUCAGCUCUUCACAAUGUGUUUUAUUGAAAAGAUUAACUCCGGUUACUUAUACAAAUCCUGCCUUUGGGAGAAUAAUUAAAUUGUCUUCAAACCUACAAAGACUGUCUUAUUUUUAAUAUUCAGCCAUGACUUUAAUGUACUUCCUAUAAUGUUCUUGUAUAAUCUGUACCUACACUUGAAACACAAGCUUCUGUGUUUGCCUAAAAUCACUGAAGGUGGAUGGAGAGCACCAGCUGUUUUUGUUUCCAUUUAUCCAAAGCUUCAUUACCCCAUCAAACAUUUACCUGCAAACAGUCUGCACUCUGCAGCUCACGCACACAUGCAGACACAUUAAGCAUGCACUGUGCAUUAGUUCGCUGAUGCCAUAAGAUUAAAGAGUUCAAUGCACAGCGUAUUCUGUUUGGGUUUCCAUGCUGUGGUCCACUGCUUCUUAAAGCUCAUACAGAACACUCACAACUGCCUUGAGCCACAAAGCACAUGUAGUCGACAUAUGCCUUUUCCAGACCUGUCCUCUACACAGGCUGACUUUGUUAGUCUCUCUUUUAACUUUUUCUCUAAAAAGUAUUAAUUAAGUAUUAAUUCCCCCUGUCCCCCCAAAAUUAAAUGGUUGUUAGGAUGAAAGUUUGGAGAAGGGACUAACAGACUCCUGGUCCAGCUGAGGUAAUUUAGCUUGGCUGCUGGUUUGACAGGGUGUUUGUGCACCAGUGACAUCCCCUGAGAAACAGAGGGUGCUUCAGUCUCGUCUGACGAAAGCUGUGCUGGUUUUUCUGCCCACCAAAUAAUUUUCUGUUCCAAUUAAAGGCACGCUACAUGUCAACUUCACACGUUACAAACUCUGUGGCAAAAAAGGACUCUGUGCUGAGUUAGUCAGUCAGGGAUGAUGCCCAUGGAACAAAGGCAACAUUUCUGCUCGCCAACUUGGUUAAAAACAACAAGCAACUGUCCAUGAAAGUUGAUACGACUAAAAUGUGUACCAUCUGUGCAAGUCUGACUGUGAAAAACCUGAUUUUGUGAAGCUCCAGCUCUCAGAGUAGUUUUGAACUCUUUUGAAAAAGGAACCAUCCGAGUAACUUAAGUUUUUUUGGUUUUCAUUUAAGAUUGCUAUGAAGCCGGUUUGGUUCUAGUUACGAAAGUAUUUUGUUUCAGUGUAAUCUUAUUUUUCCAGCAAUUACACCCCCAGUACUUACACUUAAUCUUGUUAAAACUCACCAAAGCUUUAUUCUUGCCAGUAUUUCUGAAUCUGUGCUUUGAAAUCGAUCAUCAAGGAAGACAAAAUCCAACAAUGAAAAAUAAUCCCCUAUGGUGCAGUCAAAGAAGUGUAACGAGUCUUUCAUUGGAUCAAGGCAUCAGUUUUAACUCCAUGACCAAACACAUCAGCAUUGAUGAUCAAAUCAAGCCAAAGUGCAGAGCCUUCGACUGUCUGCAGCUCGAAACAACUCCAUCAACUCCGUCUGCUGCUGCUGGGCUGCCAACGCCAUCCUCCUCU